rnacentral:rRNA from 1 species
AUUGAACGCUGGCGGCGUGCCUAACACAUGCAAGUCGAUCGGUAACGCGGGGGCAACCCUGGCGACGAGAGGCGGACGGGUGAGCAAUGCUUGGGAAUCUGCCCAUCAGCCGGGGACACCCCGGGGCCACCCGGGCUAAUACCCCACACGCUCUACGGACGAAAGCCGGGGACCGCAAGGCCUGGCACUGCUCGAUGAGCCCAAGUCGGAUUAGCUAGUUGGCGGGGUAACGGCCCACCAAGGCGACGAUCCGUAGCUGGUCUGAGAGGACGAUCAGCCACACCGGAACUGAGACACGGUCCGGACUCCUACGGGAGGCAGCAGUGGGGAAUAUUGGACAAUGGGGGAAACCCUGAUCCAGCGACGCCGCGUGGGUGAAGAAGGCCUGCGGGUUGUAAAGCCCUUUCGGUAGGGACGAAAGCUUCCGACCUAACACGUCGGGAGGUUGACUUAACCUACAGAAGAAGCACCGGCUAACUCUGUGCCAGCCGCCGCAGUAACAC